CCAAAGUUUCCCAGCUGGUGAGUGAUGGAGCAAGUGUUCGAAUCCAGGGAGUGUGACCCCAGAGCCCAUGUGUUUACCUUCUGCUUCUGAGUCAACUGAGCAGUAACUUCAAGGAGACCCACCUUCUGGGUCAUGAAGCUGGGGAGAGCGAGUGAAAAAGAGAGGAGGAAGGAUGGUCUGGCCCGGAAGAGAGGCCUUAUGGACAGACGGGGAGGUCAGUGAGAUGACUCCGGUGCCCGUACAUGCUUUGAGAUGGGAGAAGAGCAUCAAGGGGUCCCAAUCAACAGACCAGAUGUGAGAGGAAGAGCCUGGACUGGGGAGGAUGGCAGUGAGGAAAUAAAGGAGCAAAUCCAAGAGACA
rnacentral:lncRNA from 1 species